GACGAACGCGGCGGCGUGCCUAAUACAUGCAAGUCGAGCGGACAGAUGGGAGCUUGCUCCCUGAUGUUAGCGGCGGACGGGUGAGUAACACGUGGGUAACCUGCCUGUAAGACUGGGAUAACUCCGGGAAACCGGGGCUAAUACCGGAUGGUUGUUUGAACCGCAUGGUUCAAACAUAAAAGGUGGCUUCGGCUACCACUUACAGAUGGACCCGCGGCGCAUUAGCUAGUUGGUGAGGUAACGGCUCACCAAGGCAACGAUGCGUAGCCGACCUGAGAGGGUGAUCGGCCACACUGGGACUGAGACACGGCCCAGACUCCUACGGGAGGCAGCAGUAGGGAAUCUUCCGCAAUGGACGAAAGUCUGACGGAGCAACGCCGCGUGAGUGAUGAAGGUUUUCGGAUCGUAAAGCUCUGUUGUUAGGGAAGAACAAGUACCGUUCGAAUAGGGCGACCU
rnacentral:rRNA from 1 species